ACGGUGAAUCCAUUGAUAGUAAAGCGAGACACGCAAAAGCGGUUUUCGAUCAGCCCGACGGAACGUCUCACUGUCACAAUAAGUUUCCUUGCAACAGGUGAAUCAUUUAGAAAUUUAGCUUUUCAGUUCAGGAUGGGAGAAAGAACUAUAUCUGGUGUCAUUGAAGAAACAUGUUUGGCACUGUAUGAGACAAUGAAGGGAAACUUCUUGAAGUCACUUCAAAUAGAUCAAGUUUGCAUCGGUUAUCGGAGGCAACUUACCAUAAACACACCAGAUACGUUGAGUAAAAAGCAAAACAAGGCAAGGUGAUUCAUGCUGCAAAAGAAAAAUGGCAUCAGACUUCGACAGUUGGCUCCCGAUGCAGAUACCAGUCCUUGCCAAAUUCCAGAAAUUGUAAUGACUCUCUGAAUGAGGACAUCCAACAUUAUAUAAGUUUAUCUCUUUCAUCUGCAACACAACAAACCUAUAGUUCUGGAGAAAAACGUUUUAUUACAUUCAUACAGUUAUACAAGAGAAAAAAUAUCGAGCAGGUUCUACCAGCUGAUGAAGCUCUGUUGACAGAAUUCGUUGCAUUUCUCGCAAAAUCUAUCAAAUAU